AGACGCGUAGCUGCUCCAGUUUGAUUUUGCUGCUUAUCUGAUACUCACGUGUCUCACUACUCGCAUACAGACUUAUAUGUGGCAGGAAAGUUCAGUCCACCUUUAUUUCCACAUGGUUAGUGAAAGGGGAGGGGGAGCUGCAGAAGGAGAGCAGCUACUGUGAAACAACAACGGAGCUUUUCUACUGAUCAAACUACUGAUGCUGCUUUCAGAGGGGGGUGCUGGCUGCAGGGGCAGAGCUGCUUUAAUAAGUGGACAGCUGCACGGGGCACACUUAUUUUGGGGGCCCAUGGCUGACUUGUAAUGUUUUUUGCCUUUAUUUAUUAAAUAAGUACUUGGCGCUGGCUCCUUCCCCUGGCCGAUCCACUUACAUUUCAGACACCCCCCUCCCCUAACCCGGUGAAGUGGAAACGGCCAGAGGAGGAAAGGAAGCUCUGCCUGCCUCAGUCUGCAGAGAGGGAGCUGGAAGAGGAGUAGAGUGGUGCGUCACACGUAGGUGCCUCGCUGGUCUGUAGCUGCUGCUCAAGUUCAGCAAAUCCUCCUGAUGUCGGCGCUUGUUGUACCCAGCUGUCACACUCGCACACCAUGACUCUGCUCGGCCCCAGCCUCUCCAGGAAUCCACCAGACACCUUCACUGAAUCUAGCAGUUUCUAGGGGCCAGUUUAUCCUAGCAACCAGGAGAGACUCGACUAGGAAAAAGCCUGAAUAGAAGAAAUAAGGGAAAAAAAGAAAUGAUAAUAAAAUUGAAGCCUCAUAGAGUGAUCGUUUUUGUUGCUGGGGUUAGUGCCCCCUUUUUAAAGACGAGGAAAAGGCAGAAGUAGAAGGGAAAUCAUUUAAAAAAAAACUACAAAAAUGAAGACCAAUUGAACAGUUGUUAAGAAAAAGAUCAUCCUAGGAAGUACUAAAACUGACUCAAAGGUGAAUCAACCCUUUAAGACGCGUACGUGUAAUUAUUUUCAGCGGUAUCUGUAUAACUCUUAAUAUUCUUACACAGUGCAGCAGAAGCCAUCUGGAGGAGAACAAUCUUCUGGUUCGUAGCUUCAAGAAUCAAAACCAGAGAUUGGAAAGGGAUACUGUAUAUGGAUUUCGGUAGCAAUAAAAUUUGUAAUGUUCACAUUUCACCCAAGCUCUUAGAAUGAGCUAUGAAUGUAUAUUGGGGACAAAGGAGUCCGUCUGCUGUGGAACCUUAGGGUGCCAAAUACUUACUGUGUAUAUAGGAUCUCUGAAAUGCAUGAAGCAAUGUUUUCCCUAGAGCACCAUAGAAGAGAAGAGGAUCACAAUACAACAAUAAUCAACACACACCCCCACUGUGUAAUUAUAGUAUAAGCCCCAUCUCCUUUAUAACUGUCCUAUAACACAUUAGCCUGUUA